GUGAGCAACUGAAGAAUGGGACAGGGAGGUAGGAACAGCAUCUAGAUCUCCUGUUUCUAAAUCAGCAACUUUGUGACACCUUGCAUUCAAGUAAUUUAAUCAUGAACAUCAGAUGGCUACGUGCCUGCUUUAUCUCUACCUUGAGGUAGAGAUGGUUCUUGUGAAAGGUUGUUGUUCCACUAUGACAGAACAGUGUCACAAGCAUUGCAGUGGUUGUGUUAAUUGCCAGAAUGGUGUAGCAACUGGCAUGCACUGUUCUGCUUGUUAAUAUUGUUGUGGGCUGUUCUUGUUGACAUGGAGCAGUGUUCCACGUCGGCUACAUCAUGGUUCUCUCAGGCCUUUCCCUUUUUUAACCCACACAAUCUGUGUGUUACACUAAGGAAAUACUAAAUAAAUGGCAUUGGGUUUUCCCUGGCUGAAAUUAGUUGUUGACCUUAGACUGCCAUAAGCAACAUUUACAGAAAGCCCCCACUGAUUUUCCUGGUGGGCUUGAGGAAGCCUCCGAGCAGCUUUUUGUGAGUUCAUGCUUGGAGGAGGAGUGGAAGGGAUGGUGUGAAUGUUGCGCUUUCUAUGCGGGCUGAUGGUUGCUUGAAUGAGUGGACUUCCUGAUUCAGAGGUAAAGAAUGAAUGGUCUCUCCUCGUAGUUUCAUUUUUAUUAUAAAAGGUACUUUAACAGCUCAGCGGUGUCUGCUGCCCCACGCAAGCGCUGCCUAGACGAUUGUUUCCACUGCUUAAGGAAAAAGUCCAUCUGACGCACCAAUGGGAAGUCGAUGCUUUCAGUUCAUUAAAGCAAGCAUCUGUGUGUAUGUACUCAGCUGAGAAUAUUUCAGCGUGUAAGAAGGGUCUGAAAAAGAUUGAGCUUUAAAAGCUUCCAUUGUCUGAAGGCACGCACUGCUACGGCUUGGCUCCUUCCUGCUGUUGUAGCACUGGGACGAAGUGUGUAGUUGCCCUUUGGUUGUUGCAGCACCCUUGAUUUAUUGCUUGACCUUGCUUUAUUUGAAAUAUAUUAAAAAAAAAAAAAAAAAAAAAAAAAAAAGGAAGUUGCUUCCUGUGCUUGCUAUAGGACGAUGAAUUUGAAGUGUAUAAAAAGGAGUUAUCUGGCUGGUGGUUCAAUUGAAGGGGCCUGAGAACUCAUAAUAUCCUCAUUAUAUUUUUAUUCAUCUUCCUAAUUUUUGUCUGGUUUGUUUUCUUCACAGAGCUGAUUUUCCUGUCUGUAUUUGUAGGCUGCCUCCUUCAAACUGGUUAUUACUGUGAUUCCAGGGUUCUUCAGGUGAAUUCCACCGAGGCUGUGAUAGCUCCUAAGUUGUGCCCUAACUAUCUGAAGAGGAACCAUCCUAGAACAAUUCUUAGGAGGAGGACUUUUGGCUCCGGGUGCAGCCCCAGCUCUGUGAAGCUGCUGGUGAAAUUCCUGCUGACUCCAGUAUAUUUGAACAGAAUUUACAACAUCUUCAUAGGACAAUAACAUAAUUUUUGUUCAGAUUUAAAAGCAACAAAGCCUUGUGGAUUAAAAUAAGAAGCCAUGGGUUUGUGUGACACUGCAGCUUAUUGUUAGAAGAAUCUCUUCCUGUUUAAUUCCUUUUGGACUGCUCAGACUCCUCAGGUUUAUCUGAGUUUUCCCAACCCUGGAUUAAUUCCAUCCUUCUGCUUUUUCUCAAGAUUUGUAAUAAGUUGGUGGAAGGCCAAAUUCUGUUUCUGGUAUUGACUGACAAAAUAAAUUACUUACUCUACCUUUCUUAAUUUAGUGUUUAUUUCUUAAAAUAAGCAAAACCUUUCCUGUCUCUUCAGGCCUGACCACUAAGCUACAUUUUUUG